AACACUGUUAACCUGCGGUACCUGCGGAGGGAUCAUUACAGUAUUCUUUUGCCAGCGCUUAACUGCGCGGCGAAAAACCUUACACACAGUGUCUUUUUGAUACAGAACUCUUGCUUUGGUUUGGCCUAGAGAUAGGUUGGGCCAGAGGUUUAACAAAACACAAUUUAAUUAUUUUUACAGUUAGUCAAAUUUUGAAUUAAUCUUCAAAACUUUUAACAAUGGAUCUCAGAUCGGAAGAGC
rnacentral:misc_RNA from 1 species